GUAAGAUCUUCGUGAGCAUAAUGCAAAGAGUGGAGCCUCCUGUACCUUGGUUGUCAAAAAGUGCUACCAACUGGAACUCUACAUCCAUUCGCUAUCUGGCUCUCUGGAUUAUUUUGUGUGAAAAUGCAAACUCAAAGUAGUAGUAUUUCAACUUUUACUCUAAAAGAGGCUUCAAAGUAUUGAGAACUACCAUCCUAAUUAUGUUCUAAUUACUUGGCAGGUAAGGAUAAGAGAAACUAUCAAUAAGACUAACUAACCAAUUCUGUUGUACUCGAGGAUAGCGCAGUGUUUAGUCUUCCUGGAUCUUAUCUUGAUGGAGGUUUUCAAGAUUCUAAAUGCAUGUCUUCA
rnacentral:misc_RNA from 1 species